rnacentral:rRNA from 1 species
AGAGUUUGAUCAUGGCUCAGGACGAACGCUGGCGGCGUGCCUAAUACAUGCAAGUCGAACGAUGUGGCUCUUUCGGGAGCAUAUCAGUGGCGGACGGGUGAGUAACGCGUAGGUAACGUGCCCUGUACUGGGGGAUAACACCGGGAAACCGGUGCUAAUACCGCAUAAGACUGGCGUUGGAAUACGCCUCUUUAAAGCCCUGGCGGUACAGGAUCGGCCUGCGUAGGAUUAGCUUGUUGGUGAGGUAAUGGCUCACCAAGGCGACGAUCCUUAGUUGGUCUGAGAGGAUGACCAGCCACAGUGGGACUGAGACACGGCCCACACUUCUACGGAAGGCAGCAGUAGGGAAUAUUGCGCAAUGGGCGAAAGCCUGACGCAGCAACGCCGCGUGGAGGACGACACCCCUUGGGGCGUAAACUCCUGUCAGCAGGGAAGAUAAUGACGGUACCUGCAGAGGAAGCAUCGGCUAACUACGUGCCAGCAGCCGCGGUAAGACGUAGGAUGCAAGCGUUGUCCGAAUUUAUUGGGCGUAAAGAGUUCGUAGGCGGUGAACCAAGUCCGAUGUUAAAGACCGGGGCUCAACUCCGGCAUGGCAUUGGAAACUGGCUCGCUAGAGUUCGGUAGAGGUAAUGGGAAUUCCCGGUGUAGCGGUGAAAUGCGUAGAUAUCGGGAGGAACACCAGUGGCGAAAGCGCAUUACUGGGCCGAAACUGACGCUGAGGAACGAAAGCCAGGGGAGCGAAAGGGAUUAGAUACCCCUGUAGUCCUGGCCGUAAACGAUGGAUACUAGGUGUUGGUGGUAUCGACCCCUCCAGUACCGCAGCUAACGCGAUAAGUAUCCCGCCUGGGGAGUACGACCGCAAGGUUGAAACUCAAAGGAAUUGACGGGGGCCCGCACAAGCGGUGGAACAUGUGGUUUAAUUCGAUGCAACGCGAAGAACCUUACCUGGGCUUGACAUCUGGGGAAUCUCCGGGAAACCGGGGAGUGCCUUCGGGAACCCCAAGACAGGUGGUGCACGGUUGUCGUCAGCUCGUGUCGUGAGAUGUUGGGUUAAGUCCCGCAACGAGCGCAACCCUCGUGGUCUGUUGCUACAGGUGGAAACAUGCUGAGCACUCAGGCCAGACUGCCGGUGACAAACCGGAGGAAGGUGGGGAUGACGUCAAAUCAUCACGCCCCUUAUGUCCAGGGCGACACACGUGUUACAAUGGGCUAGGACAAUGGGUGGCUUGGCAGCAAUGUCCGGCAAAUCUCUAAACCUACCCUCAGUUCGGAUCGGAGUCUGCAACUCGACUCCGUGAAGUCGGAAUCGCUAGUAAAUGCCGAUCAGCACGCGGCAUCGAAUACGUUCCCGGGCCUUGUACACACCGCCCGUCACACCACGAAAGAAGGUUAUGCCCGAAGUCGGUGCUCCCACCCUUUGGGAGGAAGCCGCCGAAGGCAGCAUCUUUGAUUGGGGUGAAGUCGUAACAAGGUA